CGCUGCGAGGCGUUGAGCUAACCGGUACUAAUUGCUCGUGCGGCUUGACUAUA
rnacentral:rRNA from 1 species